rnacentral:tRNA from 1 species
GAGGGUAUAGCUCAGUGGCAGAGCACAUGCUUAGCAUGCACAAGGUCCUGGGUUCAAUCCCCAGUACCUCCA